rnacentral:rRNA from 1 species
CGGUGAACUGCGAAUGGCUCAUUAAAUCAGUUAUCGUUUAUUUGAUAGUACCUUACUACAUGGAUAACCGUGGUAAUUCUAGAGCUAAUACAUGCUAAAAACCUCGACUUCGGAAGGGGUGUAUUUAUUAGAUAAAAAACCAAUGCCCUUCGGGGCUCCUUGGUGAAUCAUAAUAACUUAACGAAUCGCAUGGCCUUGCGCCGGCGAUGGUUCAUUCAAAUUUCUGCCCUAUCAACUUUCGAUGGUAGGAUAGUGGCCUACCAUGGUAUCAACGGGUAACGGGGAAUUAGGGUUCGACUCCGGAGAGGGAGCCUGAGAAACGGCUACCACAUCCAAGGAAGGCAGCAGGCGCGCAAAUUACCCAAUCCCGACACGGGGAGGUAGUGACAAUAAAUACUGAUACAGGGCUCUUUUGGGUCUUGUAAUUGGAAUGAGUACAAUUUAAAUCCCUUAACGAGGAACAAUUGGAGGGCAAGUCUGGUGCCAGCAGCCGCGGUAAUUCCAGCUCCAAUAGCGUAUAUUAAAGUUGUUGCAGUUAAAAAGCUCGUAGUUGAACCUUGGGCCUGGCUGGCCGGUCCGCCUCACCGCGUGUACUGGUCCGGCCGGGCCUUUCCUUCUGGGGAACCUCAUGCCCUUCACUGGGCGUGUUGGGGAACCAGGACUUUUACUUUGAAAAAAUUAGAGUGUUCAAAGCAGGCCUUUGCUCGAAUACAUUAGCAUGGAAUAAUAGAAUAGGACGUGUGGUUCUAUUUUGUUGGUUUCUAGGACCGCCGUAAUGAUUAAUAGGGAUAGUCGGGGGCAUCAGUAUUCAAUCGUCAGAGGUGAAAUUCUUGGAUUGAUUGAAGACUAACUACUGCGAAAGCAUUUGCCAAGGAUGUUUUCAUUAAUCAGUGAACGAAAGUUAGGGGAUCGAAGACGAUCAGAUACCGUCGUAGUCUUAACCAUAAACUAUGCCGACUAGGGAUCGGACGGUGUUAGUAUUUUGACCCGUUCGGCACCUUACGAGAAAUCAAAG